GAAGAACCGGUACGUUUUGGUACUAUCUACUCUCCUUAUAAAAGAGCAUCAGAUUCCUAAUCUGAGGGUCACGCGUUCGAAUCGCGUCGGGAUCACCA
rnacentral:tRNA from 1 species